AUUAGGAUUGGAAAAACCCGAAUUCAGUGAACCAGUUCACAGUUCACACUACCCACAAACGCGCUUCUCCUUCAACUGUGGGGUCGCGCUUCUCCUUCAACUGUGGCGUCUUCUCCUUCGGCGCUUCUCCUUCAGUCUUCUCCUUUCUCGUUCGCGGUUGUCAUUCUUUGGUUUCACUGUCUCCGUCUUGCCGAUUUGCCGUCACAGGUGUGGGCUUUCCAUUCGCCUUUGCUCGUGCUUCUUGCCACUGGUUACAGCUGCAAAUUUUGUUUUUCCACCCAGGAGCACAACAAAGUUCGUGAAACUGAACCAGAACAAGCAGUAGCCCCUGUUCUAGUUCUUUCAGGUUAAUGAUAGUCCAAUUUCAUGUCAUGCUUCGUCAUUAUUAAUCAGUUAAUCAAGCUGAUUAAUAAUCAACUAACAGGGGAUUACUCAAGGUGUUAGAAGCUCCACACGCGCUGUUCGCUCGGCGGAGCAGAGGCUUCGCCGCUUGGCAACCAUGUCUCCUCCUCCCUCUUCAGUUUCCUUGCAGGCAAUGGUGAGUCCCAAAGCAGAGGCUGACUCAGGUGGACCUGGGGUGGCCAGAGCGGCAAGAAACAUGAGAGAGGGCGUUGUCAAGGGUCGUGCAUGAAAAUGUUCUUCACACUUGCAAGAUUCUCAAAGUUUGCUCUUAGCUAUAUAGGUGGACGUAGAUAAUGUUAAGAAUCAUAGAUAGAAGAUGAACGUCAUCAUGCUCUGGAAUCUAUAGUAUAAAAAGAGCGACUUUGCAAUCUCUUUUUUGGUGAUAUGUUGAAGUGCUAUUUGAUCAUUGAUGUGGUUGUGCACUUGUAUUAGAACACAAUAAUACCAGUGAAGAAGCUUACAAGGAGAAAUAACAAAAUGAAAAUCAUUAAAUUUAAAUAUCGGAUUUGUGUUCUAAGAAAAGUGACACUGUAUCUCAAAUUCAAGGCCACUAGGAUUUACAUUGAUUUUGGGGCAUGAAAAUAAACAUCAAAGCUCAAACCCUGUUUCUAACCUUGAAUAAGUGUAUUUGAUGAGUUCUUUUGUUUAGUACUGAGUAUAUACUCAGAAACUGUUGUAUCCUGACAUUUGGUCUCACUUUAAUAAUUCUAUUAGAGUUUCUUUGUAAUAAUUAAAAAAAAAAACCCUUGAACCUGGAAGAGGCAGAUUUUUUCUCUAUAUCAGGUACAACGGAAAACCAAACCCAAAAUGUAGGACAAGGAAAUUUGAGAUAUUACUUGAUUAAAAUCAUGGACACAUACAUAGAAUCAGCUAAGCCUAGAGAGUUUUCUAUUAUUUAAGAAGUGCCGUGGAUUUGGCUUUCUCGUCCUAGACUUAAGGGUGGUCUUGGUGAUCUCCUUAAGACUUGUGACGUUAUGGGUGUCACUUUCCAUCUUUUUCAAGAGAAGCUGCUUCUUCUUCUUCACUUUGAGUAGUUGUAGGGUCAAGACCAAGGCAUCUGGAGAGGGUUUUCACAACUUGGUCCAAGAAAUGGCAUGGCAUGUAUGAAUCCCAAGCAGAUUCUCUCUCUCUCCGAACCUCAAUACGGGUAUCCAUGUUCUCCUAAUCUUUUUAGUUUCACUAGUUCACUGUGUUUCACAGCAAAGACAAACCUCCAACAAAAGUAUAUGUUGUUAUUGACUAGUUUUCCUUUGGUUUUAGCCGUUUAAGGUCUCUUGAGGUGAGGUUCUGUAAACUUAUCUGGAAACGAGCAUGUAACAGACAUGUGUACACACCACUCAGUGCAUACCCUCAUACCCAUAAUAUUUAUAUAUAUACGUGUAACCAUGUGCAUAUGCUAGGGGAGGCACGCACCCAAGUGUACUAGGAAAUCCAUGUAUAUGUUAUCCAAUAUUUCACUUGGUA